CCAAGCUACUGUGGGUAAAGGCAAAAAGAAGAAAAAAAAUGAAGGAAAAAUAAAUUUCACAAAUAUAAACUAAUUCCUAAAAAUCCUCAAAAAAAUUUCCUAAUGAUAGUAUUUAGUGUUAAUUAUAGAAACUCAAGGGGAGGAAGCUAAUAUUAUGGCUAAAAAAAUUCUACGACAAAGGAAUUUAAUUAAUAGUGAAAUUAUUAAAGGAGACGAUAUCAUCGAAGAACCCUUCUAGUUGAUAGCUGGAUUCGUUACCUUGAAGCGACAUCGUCUGUGAGUAGUAACAGUCCCUUAAAAGGGGUCUGGCCAGACUACAAUUUGUAAAAAUGUUUUAUUAAAGUUUAUGAAAUUUAUAUGAUUGAAAUAAAUUGUUUAUGAAUAAUUAUGCAGAUAUUGAUAUGGUCAGUGGAUCGAGCUUACGAGCUGGUCAUUGAUGGAAUAGUGAGACAUUGUCUCCUAUUUCCCUGUUUUGAGGUGAAUUGUCAUUUAAAUAUUGACUAGCCUCACCCGAGAGUGACACUUAGAGCUAUAGAUGUUCCUCUCAUUUAGUCUCCUUGUGCGCACAUAGAUCUAGGGAACUGAUGUUGCUUUUAAACCAUUGUUUUGAAUUGCUGUGUUUUAUUGUUUUGGAUUGUUACUUCUCAUUCAGUUUAAUCUGAUUCCCUGUUGUUUCCAUCUUUUAGUCGAUGACAGAUCGAAUCCGGUCGGGAACAAUUGGGUUAGCAAUGUUGAUAAGGGUGCCAAGGAUGUCCUUUUGAGCUGAGCCUGUGGGAGUUUAUAGUUUGUAUUAGAAAUUUGUUAAAUGUGUAUUAGUUCUGAUUAUGUUGGUUAUAUUGGACUCGAAGUGAAUUGUAUGAUUACUUUAUGUUUAGGUUA